rnacentral:rRNA from 1 species
CGGAGGGUGCAAGCGUUAUCCGGAUUCACUGGGUUUAAAGGGUGCGUAGGCGGGCAGGUAAGUCAGUGGUGAAAUCCCCGAGCUUAACUCGGGAACUGCCAUUGAUACUAUCUGUCUUGAAUAUUGUGGAGGUAAGCGGAAUAUGUCAUGUAGCGGUGAAAUGCUUAGAUAUGACAUAGAACACCUAUUGCGAAGGCAGCUUACUACGCAUAUAUUGACGCUGAGGCACGAAAGCGUGGGGAUCAAACAGGAUUAGAUACCCUGGUAGUCCACGCCCUAAACGAUGAUUACUCGACAUUAGCGAUACACAGUUAGUGUCUGAGCGAAAGCAUUAAGUAAUCCACCUGGGAAGUACGACCGCAAGGUUG